UCUGGUGAUUAGAGCGAGGUGGAACCACCCGUCUCCAUCCCGAACACGGUAGUGAAACGCCUUAGCGCUGACGAUACUGCGCUCGUGAGGGUCUGGGAAAAUAGGCCAUUGCCAGGA
rnacentral:rRNA from 1 species